CUACGGAGGGUGCGAGCGUCGUUCGGAAUUACUGGGCGUAAAGCGUACGUAGGCGGAUCAGAAAGUAUGGGGUGAAAUCCCAGGGCUCAACGCUGGAACUGCCUCAUAAACUCCUGGUCUUGAGUUCGAGAGAGGUGAGUGGAAUUCCGAGUGUAGAAGUGAAAUUCGUAGAUAUUCUGAGGAACACCAGUGGCGAAGGCGGCUCACUGGCUCGAUACUGACGCUUAGGUACGAAAGUGUGGGGAGCAAACAGGAUUAGAAACCACGGUAGUCC
rnacentral:rRNA from 1 species